CUGCAGUCGACGAGAAAGUGGAGCAAUCCAUGAGUACAGUGGCGUACGGGUGAGUAACACGUGGGUGAUCUACCUCUUUGUGGGGAAUAACCCUGGGAAACCGGGGCUAAUACCGCAUAAGCACGAGAGUGGAAAGCAGCAAUGCGCAGAGAGAGGAGCCCGCGGCCGAUUAGCUAGUUGGUGGGGUAAGAGCCCACCAAGGCAAAGAUCGGUAGCCGGCCUGAGAGGGCACACGGCCACACUGGCACUGAAACACGGGCCAGACUCCUACGGGAGGCAGCAGUGGGGAAUCUUGCACAAUGGGGGAAACCCUGAUGCAGCGACGCCGCGUGAGCGAUGAAGCCCUUCGGGGUGUAAAGCUCUUUCGGCAGGGAAGAUGGUGACGGUACCUGCAGAAGCAGCUGCGGCUAACUACGUGCCAGCAGCCGCGGUAAUACGUAGGCAGCGAGCGUUGUUCGGAGUUACUGGGCGUAAAGGGUGUGUAGGCGGUUGUUUAAGUUUGGUGUGAAAUCUCCCGGCUCAACCGGGAGGGUGCGCCGAAUACUGAAUGACUAGAGUGCGGGAGAGGAAAGUGGAAUUCCUGGUGUAGCGGUGAAAUGCGUAGAUAUCAGGAGGAACACCGGUGGUGUAGACGGCUUUCUGGACCGUAACUGACGCUGAGACACGAAAGCGUGGGUAGCAAACAGGAUUAGAUACCCUGGUAGUCCACGCCCUAAACGAUGCAUAUUUGGUGUGGGCAGUUCAUUCUGUCCGUGCCGGAGCUAACGCGUUAAAUAUGCCGCCUGGGGAGUACAGUCGCAAGGCUGAAACUCAAAGGAAUUGACGGGGGCCCGCACAAGCGGUGGAGCAUG
rnacentral:rRNA from 1 species